rnacentral:rRNA from 1 species
GACGAACGCUGGCGGCGUGCUUAACACAUGCAAGUCGAACGGUGAAGCGCCUUCCUUUUUGGUGGGUGUGGAUGAGUGGCGAACGGGUGAGUAACACGUGAGUAACCUGCCCCCUUCUUCUGGAUAACCGCAUGAAAGUGUGGCUAAUACGGGAUAUUCUGGGUCUGUCGCAUGAUGGGUCUGGGAAAGAUAUUGUUUCGGUGGGGGAUGGGCUCGCGGCCUAUCAGCUUGUUGGUGGGGUGAUGGCCUACCAAGGCGGGGACGGGUAGCCGGCCUGAGAGGGUGGACGGUCACACUGGGACGGGGACACGGCCCAGACUCCUACGGGAGGCAGCAGUGGGUAAUAUUGCACAAUGGGCGCAAGCCUGAUGCAGCGACGCCGCGUGAGGGAUGGAGGCCUUCGGGUUGUGAACCUCUUUCGCCAGUGAAGCAGGCCUGCCUCGUUUGUGGGUGGGUUGACGGUAGCUGGAUAAGAAGCGCCGGCUAACUACGUG